rnacentral:sRNA from 1 species
AGAAAGCAUAAAUUUUUCACUUUUCUAAUAUACGCCAAUAUGUAACUUGCAAUGAGAUAAGUUUAACUGCAUUUCCAAGAAAUAUUUUCUAUUGUUCUUGGAAUAAACUGCAUGAUGUAUGUUUGAAAGAAUCUACAUAAAAGCGAACUAGUUAUCUGCAAACAUAGUUAGCAAACAUGCGUUGCAAAUUGAUUAUAUUGUUUCUGUUCUUUGAGAUUAAUGUAUUUUGUGUGACGACGGAAAAUAUUAAUCGUAAUGAAACGUUCAUGUGGACAGCAUCCCAAAAAAAUCAACCAAACGCUACAUCAUUCGUUCUAAUAAAUCCAAAACAGAUUCAACAUGCGGAAAGAAUAAUAGAACAUUUCUUAACGAGAUUAAUUGGACCGAUUGCUCAGCCAAUAACUCUGAGAUUGACGUCUAAUAAUGGAAGUAAUUUGGAAAGUACAAUUAGUGAGAUAAGUAAUAUGAUACGUGCAAAAAUUAUGGAAUUUGCACGAACCAGCGGAUUAAUUACAUCGGUUCGGCAAUAUGAGCAAACAUUAUGGAACUCUACGACUUCCAAAGGCUGGUUUACCGAAGGUCUAGUCCAGGGAUCGUUCUUAUUAGGCGAUCUGAUUAGAAUCGGAGAAGAGGUUCAAUCUGCGAUCAAUCAUUACUUCAAAACGUAUAAUAUGAUCUUAUAUAAAGAAGAAUUAUUACCACGCACUGUAACGACAAAUUUUAAGUUUUUUAGUAUCAUAAAUGAUGCUGCUAGUUUUAACAAGAAAUUAUUUAAAUGUUUGUUAUUGAUAACAGACGAGAGAAAUUCAACAUUAUCUUUUAAUCUUAAUCGAGCUCUUGCAAACUUAGCAAAGGAAUCACCCAAUAUUACUGUGAAAUCGUUUAAAUCCAGUUUAGAUCGAGCAUUUAUUCGUUCCGCACCAAGUAACGAUUCAACCAGUGAACAAUUAUACAUGCUGCUAUGUCAGUCACUUGUUGAAAGGAUCAGUCAUUACGGUGAUUGUAUCAAAGAGUUACGUCGCUUCGUGACUUGCGUGUCAUCAUCGAGCGAUCAAGACUGGAAUGGAGCAAUCGGUCAUCACAGAAUUUUUGCCAAACCAUGGUUAAGCGUUAUUCAACACUUAAGUGGAUGUAAAAUUAAUAUCGACGAAGAUGGCAAUGCGAAUAUUCGCUGCAAAUUUUAUCGGAGACUGCCGAAAUCUACAACGCGGCAAGUAAAAUAUAUUUACGAGAAAAUAUUAGAUCAACGGAUACCUAAGCGGUCAUCUCUUCAUCACGUCGCAAAUGAACUCGGGAAUCUUCUUUCGAGAAGUAGAUGGGGGAGACAAUUAACGUACGACAUAUGUCAGUAUUUUGCUAUUUAUCAAGAAGGUCAAAGGAGAUUGAAUAUACUUUCGAAGAAUGCUGUUAAGGAUAAGAAAGCGGCUAUAAGAUAUAAAAAGAUGUCUAUAUCAUUAAAUAUAUAUAAAAAUGGAGUAUUACGAAAAACGAUGCUUGCUGUUGAAAAUGUUCAUCAUUCUGCUUUAGAGAUGCAAAAAUAUUUUAUUCAUGGUAUUAGAAAUUCUUUCAAUGAAUCAUGGCAGAAUCAUCUUAAAGUUCUUGCUUGCUUGUCAGAAUGGAUGACAAAAGUUUUAGAAUUAUUUGGAUGCACAAAUUUAAAUGAUACAGAUGUCGAUACGUCGAUUUCUACUGACAUUCCGCCAAUUAAUAUGACAGAUUCAAACAGUGCAAAUGAUGAACUUGAUGAAAAUAAUGAAACAAAACAUCUCAUAAUAUAUUCUAGGAAAAAUCAAAUAAAAAAGGAGACCGAUAUUACUUUCGAAAAACUAAUGCAAUCAAUGAAUCAUAUGAGUAAAAUGCGAAGCCAAAAUGACAAAAGCACUUUAGCAUGUCUCGCAAAUAAUUUGCUACUGGUUACUAUGUUCAUGGAAACAAUUAGUUUUGUUUCCACAUUAUUCUGUUUGGGAGACCAUAAAGAUGAAUCCAAUUUCGAACAAGAAGCGGAAGAUUAGAGUUUACUUAGACCUGGAACGUAGAUCAUUGUUUUGAAAAGAUUUUGCAGAUAUUGAUACAGUUAAAGAAAUUUCUCCGAUGGUACCAACUGUUUUUAAAGAAAUCGCCAAUAACUAUGGUGUAGACUAUGCAAAUUCUAUUAAAAGCAUACUUAUGAAUGUAACAAAUAAUUCUUACGGUUUAAUAAAAAGUAAGCGAUAAACUAAGAAA